UCCGAAUUGAUCACCGUCCUUAUGAUGAUAUUAUGACCAGGAGCAUUUAGGAAUUAAAUACAUAUCUCUAAUUCUCAACACUUUGAGAAUAUAUUUUGAAUUAUUAAUUUUAUGGAUGAUUUAAAGACACAUCACAUUUAAAGAAAAAAUAAACUUAUCCUUUUUAUUGAUCAAAUCAAUGCAUUAAGUAUAAAAUUAUGUCCUAGCUUUAUUAUAAUGAGUCAGCCAUAUUGACUUCUAAGACAUACAUCCAACAAUCUUUCUCUUGGACUAAAGCCAAUUGAUCACUAA
rnacentral:lncRNA from 1 species